rnacentral:rRNA from 1 species
UACAGAGGAGCCAAGCGUUGUCCGGAUUGACUGGGCGUAAAGCGCACGCAGGCGGACGCGCGCGUGGGGUGUGAAAUCUGGCCGCUUAACGGCCAGCGGCCAUCCCAUACGGCGGGUCUGGAGCGAUGCAGAGGUCGGUGGAAUUGCCGGUGUAGUGGUGAAAUGCGUAGAUAUCGAGAGGAACACCUGCGGCGAAGGCGGGUUGCUGGGCCGACACUGACGCUGAUGCGCGAAAGCCAGGGGAGCGAACGGG